rnacentral:sRNA from 1 species
ACUCGAGCGAAGCGAGAGAACGUUGCCGCAGGCAACGGCCCGAAGGGCGAGGCGCUUUAGCGCCGAGUAAUCCUUCCCCCACCACUG